rnacentral:lncRNA from 1 species
AAGCAAGCCGAGGAGCAGGCAGCCCGGGGUCUGUUUCUCCUCAUUGUCCUCAGGGAGCCCGCGCUGCUCUGCUCCCCUCCAGCCCAGGGCGCUGGCACCAGAACCGAGCCCAGGGUAGGAAGCCACUGCCCGGGAACUGCAGACCUUUCACCUUCGCUCCGCCUGCACAACGCUCCACGCCCCCUUCACCCCCUUCCCCACGAGGAGACUCGGUAUCCCAGAUGCUUGCAGCUCCAUGGACUCCCCGUCCUCAGCUCCAGAUGGUCUGGAUUCGCUUUUCCAAAUGGCUCUGCCUCUAAUUCUUGUGCUCAUUUUAACAUCGUGUCCCCUCUGUGUGUUCUCCUGCUACAUGUGAAAUUUGUAUGUGAGUGUGUGUGUGUGCGUGCAUGCGUGCGUGUGUGUGUGUGUGUGUGUGUGUGUUUGUCCCAGCACCACCACCCUCUGCCCUUUUCUUUGGCCUGUUCUUCGGGUAUUUUGAGAAAAGCCCAAGGAUUCCUGCGCGGCUGACUUUCACAACAGCUACAGUUACGGGACCAGCUUGACCCAGUUAAGGAAAUCCAAAUUUACCCAAACUGAAGCUUCACUGGAGCCGAACUGUAACUGCUUUCCUUGGACCUUUGAGCCUCUGCCUGUUCCCUUUGGCUCCUUCCUUCCCACUGUCCUCCAGACAAUGCGGGACCUCUGAUUACAAGCAAAGUCUCCAGACCACCUCUCCUCGACCUGUCUUAAGCGUCAACUCCUUGGAGCCUUUUGGGGGGGGGGAAUCAAGAAAUAACUUGAUCAGUUAAUUAACUGAGCAUUCUGAGUUGAUGGCCAGUAGUCACUUCAGGCCAUUUCCCAAGUAUUUAACAUUUGACUGAUGUGUCAACAACAGUUAAUCCAAAGGCCUCCUUCCGAUGAGAACUUUAGCCCCACAGCGUGGGCAAAUAUCUCCAGUCAUGCCUGCUUCUCGGCUGCAUUUGCUUUUGGCCUCUCUCUGUGACUCUAGACCUCUAGGCAGUGCCUCCCCGUGAGGGAGACUCUGAGCUUGCCCUGGAGCAGGGCGUGUUCUUGGAGGUAAAGCCUGGAAGCUACUCAGGGCUGCUCUGCUCCCUUGGACCUCUCCCUGGGAACACGGGUGAUCAAAUGAACCGAUCCAAUGCGAACCUGAAUAUGCACUGAGUUUCUAGGAUCAAGAAUCAAAUGUGAAUUUCCUCCUUCUUCUUUGACUUGCACUAAGGUUUUCCUUUCCUUUGUUUUUCUCAAAGCAGGAGGAAGCAGCGAGGGAGAGGGACAGUCCUGAGGCCAGAGGACAGGGCCUUCUUUCUAAUAUUGUUUUUAUUGAUGAAUAGCCAUCUCACUCCCUCCGUUUCCUGGCUCUCUCCCCGGCUGCAGUGCACUCAAUUAUAUUUUCUGGAUUGUGUGCUACAGGGAUCAUUCUGCCUUAUUCUUUUCGAAAUUGGUUGGAAUUUCAAACAAAGGGGAAUGUGUUUUUAAGGAGGAAACAGGGGGAGUGAAAACUGCCCUGUCUUUCUGGCUGCAGACAAACGACUAUUUGGUGAGCUUGCAAAAUCUGCCGGGCUGCUGCCUGUGUUUGUUUCUCCAGCACCAAGAAGAAGACCUCGCUCCAAGGAACAGCACCCCCAGGUACUCCGAGGACAGCGGCUCUGUGUGGCCCUGUGUGCGGGGCAGACCGGGCUUCCGUGGUUCUUCUAUGCCAGAACAAC